rnacentral:rRNA from 1 species
UACAGAGGGUGCAAGCGUUAAUCGGAAUUACUGGGCGUAAAGCGAGCGUAGUCGGUUAUUUAAGUCGGAUGUGAAAUCCCCGGGCUCAACCUGGGAAUUGCAUUCGAUACUGGAUAGCUAGAGUUCGGCAGAGGGAAGCGGAAUUUCUGGUGUAGCGGUGAAAUGCGUAGAUAUCAGAAGGAACAUCAGUGGCGAAAGCGGCUCCUGGACCAGAACUGACGAGUCAGCUCGAAAGCGUGGGGAGCAAACAGG